AGAGUUUGAUCAUGGCUCAGAGCGAACGCUGGCGGCAGGCUUAACACAUGCAAGUCGAGCGGGCGUAGCAAUACGUCAGCGGCAGACGGGUGAGUAACGCGUGGGAACGUACCUUUUGGUUCGGAACAACACAGGGAAACUUGUGCUAAUACCGGAUAAGCCCUUACGGGGAAAGAUUUAUCGCCGAAAGAUCGGCCCGCGUCUGAUUAGCUUGUUGGUGAGGUAACGGCUCACCAAGGCGACGAUCAGUAGCUGGUCUGAGAGGAUGAUCAGCCACAUUGGGACUGAGACACGGCCCAAACUCCUACGGGAGGCAGCAGUGGGGAAUAUUGGACAAUGGGGGAAACCCUGAUCCAGCCAUGCCGCGUGAGUGAUGAAGGCCCUAGGGUUGUAAAGCUCUUUUGUGCGGGAAGAUAAUGACGGUACCGCAAGAAUAAGCCCCGGCUAACUUCGUG
rnacentral:rRNA from 1 species